rnacentral:rRNA from 1 species
GGGUUGUGAGGUUAAGCGACUAAGCGUACACGGUGGAUGCCCUGGCAGUCAGAGGCGAUGAAGGACGUGCUAAUCUGCGAAAAGCGUCGGUAAGGUGAUAUGAACCGUUACAGCCGGCGAUGUCCGAAUGGGGAAACCCAGUGUGAUUCGUCACACUAUCGUUAACUGAAUACAUAGGUUAACGAGGCGAACCGGGGGAACUGAAACAUCUAAGUACCCCGAGGAAAAGAAAUCAACCGAGAUUCCCCCAGUAGCGGCGAGCGAACGGGGAGCAGCCCAGAGUCUGAAUCAGCUUGUGUGUUAGUGGAACGGUCUGGAAAGUCCGACGGUACAGGGUGAUAGUCCCGUACACCAAAAUGCACAGGCUGUGAACUCGAAGAGUAGGGCGGGACACGUGGUAUCCUGUCUGAAUAUGGGGGGACCAUCCUCCAAGGCUAAAUACUCCUGACUGACCGAUAGUGAACCAGUACCGUGAGGGAAAGGCGAAAAGAACCCCGGCGAGGGGAGUGAAAAAGAACCUGAAACCGUGUACGUACAAGCAGUGGGAGCACCUUCGGGUGUGACUGCGUACCUUUUGUAUAAUGGGUCAGCGACUUAUAUUCUGUAGCAAGGUUAACCGUAUAGGGGAGCCGCAGGGAAACCGAGUCUUAACUGGGCGUUAAGUUGCAGGGUAUAGACCCGAAACCCGGUGAUCUAGCCAUGGGCAGGUUGAAGGUUGGGUAACACUAACUGGAGGACCGAACCGACUAAUGUUGAAAAAUUAGCGGAUGACUUGUGGCUGGGGGUGAAAGGCCAAUCAAACCGGGAGAUAGCUGGUUCUCCCCGAAAGCUAUUUAGGUAGCGCCUCGUGAAUUCAUCUUCGGGGGUAGAGCACUGUUUCGGCUAGGGGGUCAUCCCGACUUACCAACCCGAUGCAAACUACGAAUACCGAAGAAUGUUAUCACGGGAGACACACGGCGGGUGCUAACGUCCGUCGUGAAGAGGGAAACAACCCAGACCGCCAGCUAAGGUCCCAAAGUCACAGUUAAGUGGGAAACGAUGUGGGAAGGCACAGACAGCCAGGAUGUUGGCUUAGAAGCAGCCAUCAUUUAAAGAAAGCGUAAUAGCUCACUGGUCGAGUCGGCCUGCGCGGAAGAUGUAACGGGGCUAAACUGUGCACCGAAGCUGCGGCAGCGACACUAUGUGUUGUUGGGUAGGGGAGCGUUCUGUAAGCCUGCGAAGGUGGCCUGUGAGGGUUGCUGGAGGUAUCAGAAGUGCGAAUGCUGACAUAAGUAACGAUAAUGCGGGUGAAAAGCCCGCACGCCGGAAGACCAAGGGUUCCUGUCCAACGUUAAUCGGGGCAGGGUGAGUCGACCCCUAAGGCGAGGCCGAAAGGCGUAGUCGAUGGGAAACAGGUUAAUAUUCCUGUACUUGGUGUUACUGCGAAGGGGGGACGGAGAAGGCUAUGUUAGCCGGGCGACGGUUGUCCCGGUUUAAGCAUGUAGGCGGAGGUUCCAGGUAAAUCCGGUACCUUUUUAACGCUGAGGUGUGAUGACGAGGCACUACGGUGCUGAAGUAACAAAUGCCCUGCUUCCAGGAAAAGCCUCUAAGCAUCAGGUAACAUUGAAUCGUACCCCAAACCGACACAGGUGGUCAGGUAGAGAAUACCAAGGCGCUUGAGAGAACUCGGGUGAAGGAACUAGGCAAAAUGGUGCCGUAACUUCGGGAGAAGGCACGCUGAUAUGUAGGUGAAGCCCCUGCGGGUGGAGCUGAAAUCAGUCGAAGAUACCAGCUGGCUGCAACUGUUUAUUAAAAACACAGCACUGUGCAAACACGAAAGUGGACGUAUACGGUGUGACGCCUGCCCGGUGCCGGAAGGUUAAUUGAUGGGGUUAUCCGUAAGGAGAAGCUCUUGAUCGAAGCCCCGGUAAACGGCGGCCGUAACUAUAACGGUCCUAAGGUAGCGAAAUUCCUUGUCGGGUAAGUUCCGACCUGCACGAAUGGCGUAAUGAUGGCCAGGCUGUCUCCACCCGAGACUCAGUGAAAUUGAACUCGCUGUGAAGAUGCAGUGUACCCGCGGCAAGACGGAAAGACCCCGUGAACCUUUACUAUAGCUUGACACUGAACAUUGAGCCUUGAUGUGUAGGAUAGGUGGGAGGCUUUGAAGCGUGGACGCCAGUCUGCGUGGAGCCAACCUUGAAAUACCACCCUUUAAUGUUUGAUGUUCUAACGUUGGCCCCUUAUCGGGGUUGCGGACAGUGUCUGGUGGGUAGUUUGACUGGGGCGGUCUCCUCCCAAAGAGUAACGGAGGAGCACGAAGGUUAGCUAAUCCUGGUCGGACAUCAGGAGGUUAGUGCAAUGGCAUAAGCUAGCUUGACUGCGAGCGUGACGGCGCGAGCAGGUGCGAAAGCAGGUCAUAGUGAUCCGGUGGUUCUGAAUGGAAGGGCCAUCGCUCAACGGAUAAAAGGUACUCCGGGGAUAACAGGCUGAUACCGCCCAAGAGUUCAUAUCGACGGCGGUGUUUGGCACCUCGAUGUCGGCUCAUCACAUCCUGGGGCUGAAGUAGGUCCCAAGGGUAUGGCUGUUCGCCAUUUAAAGUGGUACGCGAGCUGGGUUUAGAACGUCGUGAGACAGUUCGGUCCCUAUCUGCCGUGGGCGCUGGAGAAUUGAGGGGGGCUGCUCCUAGUACGAGAGGACCGGAGUGGACGCAUCACUGGUGUUCGGGUUGUCAUGCCAAUGGCAUUGCCCGGUAGCUAAAUGCGGAAGAGAUAAGUGCUGAAAGCAUCUAAGCACGAAACUUGCCCCGAGAUGAGUUCUCCCUGACUCCUUGAGAGUCCUGAAGGAACGUUAAAGACGAUGACGUUGAUAGGUCGGGUGUGUAAGCGUAGCGAUACGUUGAGCUAACCGAUACUAAUGAACCGUGAGGCUUAACCUUACAACGCCGAAG